GACGUAGGGGGCCAGCGUUGUUCGGAAUUACUGGGCGUAAAGGGCGCGUAGGUGGCCUUCUAAGUUGAACGUGAAAUCCCUGGGCUCAACCCAGGAACUGCGUCCAAGACUGGGAGGCUUGAAUCCGGGAGAGGGAUGCGGAAUUCCAGGUGUAGCGGUGAAAUGCGUAGAUAUCUGGAGGAACACCGGUGGCGAAGGCGG
rnacentral:rRNA from 1 species